rnacentral:rRNA from 1 species
UACGUAGGGUGCGCGCGUUACUCGGAAUUACUGGGCGUAAAGCGUGCGCCGGCGGCGCGUUAAGACAGGUGUGAAAGCCCCGAGCUUAACUUGGGAAUUGCGCUUGUGACUGGCGUGCUGGAGUGUGGCAGAGGGAGGUGGAAUUCCACGUGUAGCAGUGAAAUGCGUAGAGAUGUGGAGGAACACCGAUGGCGAAGGCAGCCUCCUGGGCCAGCACUGACGCUCAUGCACGAAAGCGUGGGGAGCAAACAGG